GGUCCCGGGACCCACAGCAAUGGCGCAGCCGGAAACUAGCCCCUCGACUUCCUCACGCCGGACUCCGAGCUGGGGCCGGCCUGUGGGCGGUACGCAAGGGACUCGACUUCCGCCUUCCUGCUUCCGGUCUGGCGAAUUUAACGCUCUCAGAAGUAUACUGUGGAACCAAAGAAGGCAAAACCACCAAGGGUCAUCAGAAAUUGUGCUUGGCUCACUGAUAAUCCCGGGACAAAAUUAGAGAUCACUACUCAAGCAUAAGCUGACCCCCCAGUU
rnacentral:lncRNA from 1 species